GCAGUGGUGGUUCAAUGGUAGAAUACUGGCCUUUCAUGCAGAAGACCCAGGUUCGAUUCCCGGCCAAUCA
rnacentral:tRNA from 1 species